GCCGCCUUAGCUCAGUGGUAGAGCAACACUUUUGUAAAGUGAAGGUCCCGAGUCCGAAUCUCGGAGGCGGCU
rnacentral:tRNA from 1 species